rnacentral:rRNA from 1 species
GGACCGAGGAGUCCGACAAGGCGGCGAGCCUACGGCAAACGAAAUCGCUGCGGGCGCAGCGAAGGCGCGUGCGCUUCCGCGACGUCGCGUUCCGCGCGCGUCGAGGUCGCGCCGGUGCGAGGCGAUGGCGGCGGCGGUCGCGUUCUCCGCGUUCGCGCGCGGGGUUCGCUCGGCCGCUCGGCCGCCCGCAGCCUCGAGACGGUCUCGUAUCGCAUUCGAGUCGUACUCGUAGCCGCCGUGUCGGGACCCGAAAGGCGGUGAACUAUACCCGGCCAGGGUGAAGUUAGGGGAAACCCUGAUGCAGGCCCGUCGCGUUUCUAACGUGCAAAUUGAUCGUCUGAGCCGGGUAUAGGGGCGAAAGACCAAUCGAACCGUCUAGUAGCUGGUUCCUUUCGAAGUUUCCCUCAGGAUAGCUGAAACGAGAUAGCGAAAUAGUCGCGUGAGGUAGAGCGAAUGAUUAGAGGCAUUGGGGCUGAAACGGUCUUAACCUAUUCUCAAACUUUCAAUAUGCGCUGGCCGACGACUUGCAAUCGCGAAGUCGUCGUUCGAUAGAGCGUUUCUAGUGGGCCAGUCCUGGUAAGCAGGACCGGCGAUGUGGGAUGAACCAAAUGCACAAGUUAGAGUGCCAAAAAGUAUGUUAAUCAGAAACCACAAAAGGCGUUAGUAACUAAAGACAGCAGGACGGUGGACAUGGAAGUAGUA